UUUUUCCUAAUAGGUGAAAUUUAGCUGUCUUUCGGACAGUGGAUAUGGAAAUAUCAUUUAUGAUUAUUUCAGAUGGGAGAUAUUCUUGGUCCUGGUGAAUUCCAUAGCAGGAAUUUAAAACAGGACUCUUUGUUGUGUCUGCUUGGAUCACUUACAGCCCUUGGUACCUGCCUCUUUGGAAGGCACCUCCGGUCACAUCAGGAGCAUGGAUGGGGCCCCACCUGCAUACACAUGGAGAUGGACUCAUCCUCCAGCUACUUUGGAUACCGUGGCUCCCAUUUUUCUACUUUCUCUGAAGGAUUGAAGCCACCUUGCCCAGAAGUCACUGGGAGUUAUGCCUCCUCCCUAAGGAUGGCCCACAGCCAGUGCCUCAUUGGAGCAAGAGGUACAGAAGCCCUGCUCCCUCAUCUGAAGAUGGGGCAGGCUCCGCAGUGCAAUCCAUGCACCCGAGCUCCCAUGGCAUCAGACUGACAUUGCUGGAAGCCACAGUCUUCCUCAGCUUCUCCUUCCCUGUCCUGCUUCCCUCACUCCCUUAUGGUUUUCUCCUGAGGGCACUCCCUUAAUAAAUCACUUCCUUGCCCCUGGUGCUUUCCUGUGGCCAGUGAGAAGCAUCAGCAAGAAACUGGGAAGGGGCUAGAGAGCAGAAGAGGACUGAAGCAGCCCCUGAUUCCUAAAUCGAGACUAUGAAACUUCUGUGGCUGCCACCUCAGCCUCAGCCUACUCUGCAUUGGUUCUGAGGAGCACUCUGUAGAGUUGGAAAUAAUUUCCCAGAGGGUCUAGAACACAUUUAAGGAUGCUGGGCAAAAAUAUUCAUUGAAUCAUAAUACUUAUGUGGCUCCCAAAAGCAGGAGACACCAACCUCACACCAUCAACAGCAAUGGCAUUUCUGUGUUAUUUGUC
rnacentral:lncRNA from 1 species